rnacentral:lncRNA from 1 species
UUUAUUUUCUUAGCUUUUUAGGGCCACACCUGCCGCAUAUGGAAGUUUCCAGGUGUCCAAAUGGAGCUGUGUCUGCUGGCCUACGCCACAGCCACAACAACGCAGGAUCUGAGCCAUGUCUGGGAUCUACACCACAGUUCACCUCAAUGCUGGAUCCUUAACCCACUGAUGAGUUAAGGAUUUGGCAUUGUCAUGAGCUGUGGUGUAGGUCACAGGUGUGGCCCAGAUGUUAUGGCUGUGGUGUAAGCCAGCAUCUGUAGCUACAAUUCAACCCCUAGCCUGGGAACUUCCAUAUGCCAAGGGUGCAAUCCUAAAAAGCAAAAAUAAAUAAAUAAGAAGCAUAAUAUAAUAGUGGAAGGAGGUCACCACCAAGCAGAAGAAUGUGCUGGGGUCCUGGUUUAUUCUGGAACAAUAGGGAAUCAAGAAUAAGCACUGGUCAGCUGGGCAACUGCUCAGGAUCCCAGGCGAAACCAGUCUGUGAGAAGUGCUAAAUAAAACCUCACUGAAAUCCACCAGAAAUGCGGUGUCAGGUAACACAGAUUUCCACCUGCCCCUCCUUACAUAACAGAAGACAGUCAGCUAGCCCCGUCCCUUGUCCUAGAAAGCAAAGUACCUGUAGUCACCACAUAAAUCCAUACAAACAGCAGGAGACAGCUGCACAGCACACCACCAACUCUGCACCAGCCAGCUGAUUAUUUAGGAAUACACCCCAAGAGCUGUAUACGAGAUGGAAACUCUUGUAAUAAGUCUUUUGGGUUUUUAACUAAAUAAAGAGGUACAUCUUUUUCAUGAAUCAAAACUGUUUUCCUGUCCCUCCCACAUAAGUGCUAAAUUGAGAUUUGAAUACUCUAAGGUUGAUAAGAUAUUAAUUAUGAGCUUGUUGGGUGAACCCAUAUGUCUCAGGUGGCCCUGGACAAAUCAUAUGACCUUUAAGAGUCAAUUGAUGACUGCACUUCAAGAUGUUAUGGACAUUCUUUCUCCUGGAAAACUCACAGGCAUUAUUUCCUGAAUGGAAGCCCAACUCUCCCAGUGUUUUAGAUCAUAAACAUAUUUGUUCAGGUUAAAAAAAAAAAAAAGUCAAUUGACAACAUUGUACAUCAACUCUAAUUAAAAAAAAAAAAAAGAAGUCAAUCUGAAUUUCAAGAGUAAAUAGCCAAAGGGUAAAGAAAGUGGCCAUGAUAUCAAUGAACAAACCAUUUCAUGCUUCUAUGCCUUUGGCUUACUGUUCCUUCUCCCUGGGGUGUCCUGCUGUAGUCCACUCCCCCCCUCUUACUGAUGUGGCCAUCUCAAGGUCAAAUCAAGGAGGAGGUCAGGCCCAUCCAGGCAAGUAGGAGAGGGUAUCCUGGCUUUCACCUUUAUUUAUUUAUUUUGUCUUUUUAGGGCCACACCUGCAGCAUAUGGAGGUUCCCAGACUAGGUGUCGAAUCUGGCCUAUGCCACAGCCACAGCAACACCAGAUCUGAGCCAUGUCUUUGAUCUACACCACAGCUCACAGCAAUGCCAGAUCCUUAACCCAUUGAGCAUGGCCAGGAUACUAGUCCUCAUGGAUACUAGUAAGGCUCGUUAACCGCUGAGCCACAACAGGACUCUGAUAUCCUGGCUUUCGCCUUUAAAUGGCCAUUGGUCUUAACCUCACUUGGUCAUCUGGGUGGACUCAUCUACAGGGGAAACUGUAGAUGACCUAAAAUGGGAAGGUGCCCCUUUCUGGCAUCUCAGUGGCUCUUAGCUUCUCCUCAAGUGGAGAAGCAACAGCCAGAGUCAACUCCAGGUGUCUUGCCAAAGGAUGGAUCAGCACAGGGAAAGAUAUCUGAAGUUUACAAGUCACACCACCCCAAGAAGGGGCAGCCCUCUGAUGCCACAGGGUUCAAAAGACCAAUAUACGCUCCCCUCUCCCCACGCCAGCCCUGCCCAGACCAUCUGCACAGAUUGAAUCUCUCCCACUUUCUCUUGCUCCCCCGGGAAAACUAAAUCUCAUCUGUCUGCAGUUAGCAGAAGCCCGGAGUAACUGGAUUCGCUGCUGGAACAAAAGAUAUAUGUGACGUUAACAGUUCAUUGAGCUGUGAGAUGAACAAGACGGGUGUUGAAGAGGAAACUUGAGCUGAGAGUACAUUUCCAGUGUUAAUAAAGCUUCCCUUUUGUUGUAUGUUUCCAAACACUGACUUCAGGAUGGGCGCCAUCCGUUUCCUUCCAGAAUUAGACAGCCCUGCAGAUUUAAAGCAUCGAGACAUCAUUCAGCCCUAUUAAUGGCCAGCACCAGGUGCUGUGUCAGGAAGUUGCCCCCAUCUUUAGCUCCAGCUGCAAUUAUUUCACUGGCUUGGCAAAGCAUAUACCUCCUGUUCACCCAGAGGACAUGCACACAGAUAAUAGCGCAUCAGAGGAAACCACCGAAUUCCAAAACUCAGACUUGCCAUAGGAGGAUACUUAUGUGGCGAUGCCAUCAGCAAUAUAAAAGUGGAAGCCACCUCUGUGCCCAAUGACUGGUCAUUGGUUAAUUAAAUUAUGAAGAGGCACGCAUGACAAAGUUCUACUUGGCCCUUCCAAAGGCUGCCAUAGAAGUAUAGUUGUGGACACGGAAAGAGGUUCAUGAUUUAUUGCAAAGUAUUAAAAAAAAAAAAGCAAGAUAUAUAACAGUAUGUAAAACGUGGUCCCAUUUGUAUACUAAAUGUAAGGAGAAAGAGAAAGAGAUGUUGUGUUCUAGCUUCUAGGAAGGAUGGACCUGCUAAACUGAAAGCUGUUAUCACCUUGAUGGUUUAAGAUAAAUGACAAUUGACCUUGGGUGUAGGUGCCCAGGAGGGCCAAAGAGCUCUGCAUUAUAGACAAGGAAGUGGAGCUCUUGGGGGGUUGUUCCUGGAGGGGGAAAGUGGAGGAAGUGGAGAGAUGAAAUAAUAGAAAAGGGAAGAAAGGAGUUCCCACUGUGGCUGAGUGGGUUAAGGAGAGAGUAUCCAUGAGGAUGCUAGUCAGGAUACUCCAACUAGUAUCCGUGAGGAUUCAGGUUCGAUCUCUGGCCUCGCUCAGUGGGUUAAGGAGCUGACAUUGCUGCAAACUGCAGAAUAGGUCACAGAUAUGGCUUGCAUCCUGUGUUGCUGUGGCAUAGGGCUGGCAGCUGCAACUCACAUUUGACCCCUAGUCCAGGAAUUUCCAUAUGCUGUGGGUGCAGCCAUGAAAAAAAAAAAAAAGAAAGAAAGAAAGAAAGAAAGAAAGAAAGAAAGAAAGAAAAAGAAAAAGGAAUAAGAUCACGGUGAGGCAAAAUGUGUCCUCCAGAAAGAGCUGUUAAAGUCUGUGAAUGCGACCUUCUUUGGAAAUGGCUAAAAUGACAUUGUAACUAAUGACGAUGGGUCCUCAUCCUAUGACAUGACUGCCGUCCUUCUCAGAGGAGGAAGCAGAGGCUCAGGUAGGAGAACGCCACGUGAACCCAGAGACACUCAGACACAGAAGGCAGGUGGCCAUGCAAAGACAGAGACAGAGAUUGGUGACACUGCCACAAGGCACACAACACCUGGGGCUUCCAGAAACUGGAAAAAGCAAGGGGGGACAUCCUAUUCCAGAGAUUUUGGAGGGAGCGCGGCCUCAACCACACUUCCACUUUGCAAGGCUUUUAGCCCCCAGAACUGUCCCAGAAUAAAUUUCUGGUGUUUGAAAACACCCAGCUUGUGGCACUUUGUGAUGGCCAAUAGGUGCCCAGGAGGAUGGAGACAGACCCCCACUCCAUGAAUGUGACUGUUCCCCUUGGAGACCUGCUGUGGAUGUGGGUACUGCCCAGCACAAGAUCUACGCCCUUUCCUGAAAUGUGGAGCAUAGAUUAACCACCCACAAGGAUUCACUGCCCUCUGUCACGGGACUCGACCAUCUACCCCCUCCCUUGACCUUCCCCUCCUCCUUCAUCGUUCCUGCCACACGUUUCCGCCAUGAACUCCAGCCACAGAUUCCCACCACAGAGCAUUCAUAAGCUUAGCAUCUCCUCACAGUCAGAGCUGGCACAUUUUGAGCUCAGCCCGUGCCCUUCUGAUGCCUUAAUAAAUCUUUCUUGCUUUAUCAGCCGGGGGGCUUGCAUGUUCCUCCCUCGGCAAACCUAACAUUUGGUGCCGAAACCCAGGAGGGAAUGGCCAGGGAACGGGAAGCAGGUCCGCGGAGCCCAAAACUCCUGGGUGUGCAACCGGGAGAGCAGCGGGCAGAGGCAGCUGGUCCUGGGAUAAUCAUAGGAUCCCACCCAGGUUUGGGCCCCUGAUCCAGGCACCUCCCCACCAACCCUCUGGAGCCCAGCCACGGAGGAACACUGAACUGGGAACUUGGCCUUUCCACAUCCAACUCCAUCCUACCAACUCCACAUCCAACACCGGCCUCCUAAUUCUCAGGUGAGUAAUUGCCACCUUUCUGGGUCUUCUGUCAGCACAGCCACCAAGCCCGGGUUCAUCUCAGACAAAUCCUAGCACUAGGUCAGAAGACUCCAGGCCACGGCCCCGGUUCCUCUGAUCGCAGUGACCGAGCGGGUAAAGAACAUGAUUAGGGAGUGCCCGAGGUGGCUCAGCAGGUUAAGAACCUGACAUAGUAUCUAUGAGGAUUCGGGUUCGAUCCCUGGCCUCAUUCAGUGGGUUAAGGAUCUGAUGUCGCCACCAGCUGCAGCGUAUGUCGCAGAUGUGGCUCAGAUCCAGUGUUGCUGAGGCUGUGGCAUAGGCCUGCAGUUGCAUUUCCAAUUCAACCCCUAGCCCAGGAACUUCCAUAUACUGCAGGUGUGGCCAUAAAAAGAAAAAAAGAAAAGAAAUUGCAAUUUUAAAAAAAAUAACAUAAUAAGGAUGGAGAUGCCUUAAGUCUCUUUAAAGCCAUCAGCAUGUCUAUGAUAUAAACUCC